AUUGAACGCUGGCGGCAUGCUUUACACAUGCAAGUCGAACGGCAGCGGGGGCUUCGGCCUGCCGGCGAGUGGCGAACGGGUGAGUAAUGCAUCGGAACGUGCCCAGUCAUGGGGGAUAACUACGCGAAAGCGUAGCUAAUACCGCAUACGCCCUGAGGGGGAAAGUGGGGGAUCUUCGGACCUCACGCGAUUGGAGCGGCCGAUGUCAGAUUAGCUAGUUGGUGAGGUAAAGGCUCACCAAGGCGACGAUCUGUAGCGGGUCUGAGAGGAUGAUCCGCCACACUGGGACUGAGACACGGCCCAGACUCCUACGGGAGGCAGCAGUGGGGAAUUUUGGACAAUGGGCGCAAGCCUGAUCCAGCCAUGCCGCGUGAGUGAAGAAGGCCU
rnacentral:rRNA from 1 species